rnacentral:lncRNA from 1 species
GCCUUGCGCGCGGGGUUGGCUGCCGGGAGGUCGACGCUAGUGCGGUCCCCCGCGCGGCGGAGGGGCCCGGGCCGCGGUAUCUGCGCACUGAGACGUCGGCGGAAGGCUAGAGGCCGUGCUCUCGCCCCCGCAGAAGGCCACCACUCCUUGAGAAGGCCGGAGGGACAAAGCACCGGGCCUGCGCCGGGGGCAUUCAAGAAGGAAGCCAGGCCCGACCGGGGGUGGCGCACGCUUCCCGAACCCCAGGCCCACGGCCCGGUUCCGCGCGGGCAGUUGGCGCCCCCUCGGGUCGGCACAGCAGACCUCUUAGUAAUGGUCCCCAGGGAGUGUGAGUGGGUCCCCGCCAAUCUUUUAAGGUUCAGAGAUCCACCGUCGAACGAAGCCGCUUUUACAACUUCCCCAUUUAGCCUCUUUCCUCCCCCGCCGCUGGCUAAAGCGCUGAACCUUGCCAUCCUCCUGGGGUGCCUAACGAUUUGCCCUGCCUUGGACAGCCAGUCCUCUUCAGGUGGUGGGCUGCUGGUAGGGGUAGGAAGCAAGGCCUGGGGCACAGUUGGGGACCCUCACACCUGAUUUUCUGUUUUAAGGAGGAACUGGGUUUCAAAAAGCUGUAGAGUCAGUGGGAGUUUCCUUUUGUGGCCCUUGGCACUUUUUAAAACACCCAUCUGCAAGGCGGGAACAGCGGAGAAAGUGCUAUGUAGUUCAUAAAAAGGAUAUUGGGAGACUGUUAUCUUAAGAGUUUUUCUAGAGAUUGUUUUGUAAUCUCUCAGUUUAGAGAGUUGAUAUGUCCCGCGCCAUCAGCCCGCUGAAUGGGAUCUUCCUUCAGACAGGGACUGAGAAACGGAAAUACUACCAUCCUCCAGCCAAUCUGUUGGGAGGACUGCUUGCAGAGGACUCGUGCUCCAGAUGUUGCACUAGAGGCGCUGCAAGUGUGAGCAGCAGGUAGAUGAAACUCAAGAGAAAAGGUGUGGAUAAAUGAAACUAGCCCAUGAUGAACCUGUUUUCUCCGUGACCACAAUAUUAACCAGGAUGAAUGGCGGUGGCAGUGGGCCUGCAUCACAGGUUGCAGCAGAUGUUCUCAAUAUUUCUAUUAAAAUUUCCUUAUUUCCAUAUGCAAGAGGAGCCCCAGAGCUGCAUCCUUAUGGUAGCUACCAUGCCGUGAUGUAAGCUGCCAUUCACUGGGGAGCUUUGGCAAUAGAAUUGGCUAGAUCAGGAAGCCUAUGUCAACUAUGGAACAACAACUUGCAGCUCAUCUCUAUUGAUGAUGGAAUCUCGCUAUGUCACCAGGCUGGAGUGCAGUGGCGCAACCUCGGCUCAGCGCAACAUCCGCCUCCCGGGUUCAAGUGAUUCUCCUACCUCAGCCUCCUGAGUAGCUGGGAUUACAGAUACACUGCCUCUAGGACUGGGACAGAUAGCCACUGAGUACCUGCUUCAAAUCACCCUGCACGUUUUCUCUUUGGAAAGAUAAGCACUGGAGAACCAUCUCGUUACCUUCAGCAGAAAUGGAAACAAAUCAAGACAUUAAGAAUGCCGCAGUGGACAGCAGUUAUGCAAGGUUCAGCAGAGGAAGUUUUCAAGAUGGUGUGCCUCACUAGCCAGAAAUCAGAAAAGAUCGAAGCUAGCCUUUUCAUCUCAGCUGCUCCUUAAAUCAGUGCAACCCCUCCAAAUUAAUGUGAAUUGAAACUUGCAUUGCUUUUCAACUUAAUUGAAUACUUACUAUAUGUGAACCACUGCACAAAAUAGGGGAAGAAGAUGUGGGAGACAAAGAUGUGGAGCCUGUCUUCAAUAAAUUUACAGUUAGUUUCAGGGUACAUUGUUUUUCUUCUGCUGUUAAUUAGGUGUAUCCCCAAGACAAUAAAUACAUGAAUGGAAAAGUAUAUUCUGUGUUUUAAGUCUCUUUAAUAAAAAACAAAACAAAAUCCAAAAAAACUCCUAACAUGGCAACUCAGGACAUUUUAAUCCUUUUUUUUGUUGUUGGGCUUCUGAUAGGAUCCAUUUUAUUGAUUCCAUAAAUAUUUAGUAGACUUUAGACAUAUUAAUACAUUGUAGUUUGAGUUAAUUUGCAUUAAAUUCUGUUUUUUUCCCCUUAGGUAUAGAUUGUCUGUUGGAAAAAUAUAUUGCUUGUGGAUUUCUUGGGGAGUGGGAAGGUGAAUUAUACCUGUUGUCUCUACAGUCCACUACCUUCCACACCCUAGGGCAGUGGUCCCCAACCUUCUUGGCACCAGGGAUCAGUUUCCUGGAAGACAAUUUUUCUGUGGAUGGUGUGGGGAUGGUUUUGGGAUGGAACUGUUCCACCUCAGAUCAUCAGGCAUUAGUUAGGCUCUCAUAACGAGUGCGCAGCCUAGAUCCCUCACAUGCACAGUUCACAGUAGGGUUUGCGCUGCUAUGAGAAUCUAAGGCUGCCACUGAUCUGACAGGAGGCAGAACUCAGGUGGCAAUGCUUACUGGCCCACUGCUCACCUCUUGCUGUGCGGCCUGGUUCCUAAUAGGCCAUGGACCCCCACAGACGGGUACUAGUCUGCAGCCUGUGGACCCCAGCCCUAGGGGCCUGCCAUUCUGAGUGAGUUAUUAGCAUGAAGAAGAGGAAGAUCUGGAUCAAACGUGGGUGAUGGUACUCAGAGACCCAAGAUAGGAUAGGGAUGGAACAAAAUCCAUCUGGGCAACGGCUCUAUGAAAAUUUGGCUAAGUAAUUAUUUCAGUAUUCAUUGUAUUCAUUGUCCUUCGUGUUCCAUAAGUUAAAUGACUGUCUAAUUUUUCCAAAAAUUUAUUUCUGACUUGAGAAUAAGUGUGUCAUGAUUUUCCCAGUGUAAAGACACUGAUAUAACUGUAGAUACCAGACAUUUUAUGUAGUGUCUAUGACACAUUUUAGUAUGUAUGAGCCAACAAUAGACAUGUCUUUGUCUUGAGGAGUGUCCAUCUGAAUUGAAAAUGUGUCAGCUUUUUUUUAACAUCAUCAACAGACUUCUUAAUUAAGCUGCCAAUACAUACUGCCAAUAGCACUGUGUGCUGUCUGAGAAAUGCAUUGUGUAAGUGCUAUUUCCAUCUUAUUAAAUAAACAAUGUUGCUCUGUAUAAACUGGAUUUAAAGUGUUCUUUGAAUGAGGCAUUAUAUUGCUCCAUAAAUAAUGUGAUGUGAAUUCUCAUAUGAUCCCUUUUAACUUAAUUUCUAAAAAAAUAUUAUUUGCUCCUCAGUAAGGAAUAGCUCUAAUUGGACUGGUAACUUUAGUGAUAUGAUUUGUCUGUAACAGGCUGAAUCGCCCCACUCCCAAACUCCUGGUCGUGAUACUGGAUAUUUGUUAUGCCACUUUUAGUUUGCAUGAGGUAUCUUCCAGGAAGUAUUAGUUAUUAACUUGUGUUCUACUAAACUGUAGAUAUUUAUUUCCUGUUCUGGAAGAUUUCUUGGAGUGUCCAUCUGUGCAUUCCUGGUGCCUAGUGUAGUCUUGCUAAUGGAAUAGCACCUUUAUUGGUGCUACUUAGGGGUUGGUAGCUUACAAUCAAUCUACUUGGAACGUAUCCAAAUAAACUGGAUAUUUUUAUACA